AUUGAACGCUGGCGGCAUGCCCUACACAUGCAAGUCGAACGGCAGCACGGGGGCAACCCUGGUGGCAAGUGGCGAACGGGUGAGUAAUGCAUCGGAACGUGUCCUCUUGUGGGGGAUAACCAGUCGAAAGAUUGGCUAAUACCGCAUGAGAUCGCAAGAUGAAAGCGGGGGACCGCAAGGCCUCGCGCGAGAGGAGCGGCCGAUGCCGGAUUAGCUAGUUGGUGGGGUAACGGCCUACCAUGGCGACGGUCCGUAGCUGGUCUGAGAGGACGACCAGCCACACUGGGACUGAGACACGGCCCAGACUCCUACGGGAGGCAGCGGUGGGGAAUUUUGGACAAUGGGCGCAAGCCUGAUCCAGCCAUGCCGCGUGUGUGAAGAAGGCCUUCGGGUUGUAAAGCACUUUCGGACGGAACGAAAUCGCGCGGACGAACAUUCCGCGUGGAUGACGGUACCGUAAGAAGAAGCACCGGCUAACUACGUGCCAGCCGCCGCGGUAA
rnacentral:rRNA from 1 species